AACGAAUUUGAUUUUAGGGUAUUGCGGUUGCUAAACAAACUGUAAAAUUGCCGAUGUCGACAUGAAUAAGGCUCAAUCACCUUCUGGGGUGAAAGAGAAUCGGGUUCGAAUCCCGGUGAGCCGUUUUAGAUGCACCUCGAGAUGCGAGUCACGAGGGAAGGGCUGAGAGUCAAACCAAUGACUCUUCGAGGCCGUGUAAAGGUUUGCACAAAGGACGUUAAAUGGGUUUAGCGGAGCAU
rnacentral:misc_RNA from 1 species